GUGGGGAAUAUUGGACAAUGGGGGGAACCCUGAUCCAGCCAUGCCGCGUGUGUGAAGAAGGCCUUUUGGUUGUAAAGCACUUUAAGCGAGGAGGAGGCUACCGAGAUUAAUACUCUUGGAUAGUGGACGUUACUCGCAGAAUAAGCACCGGCUAACUCUGUGCCAGCAGCCGCGGUAAUACAGAGGGUGCAAGCGUUAAUCGGAUUUACUGGGCGUAAAGCGCGCGUAGGUGGCCAAUUAAGUCAAAUGUGAAAUCCCCGAGCUUAACUUGGGAAUUGCAUGCGAUACUGGUUGGCUAGAGUAUGGGAGAGGAUGGUAGAAUUCCAGGUGUAGCGGUGAAAUGCGUAGAGAUCUGGAGGAAUACCGAUGGCGAAGGCAGCCAUCUGGCCUAAUACUGACACUGAGGUGCGAAAGCAUGGGGAGCAAACAGGAUUAGAAACCCGGGUAGUCC
rnacentral:rRNA from 1 species